GGAGGGAUGCCGGAGUGGUCGAUCGGGGCGGUCUCGAAAACCGUUGUGCCUUCGGGCACCCAGGGUUCGAAUCCCUGUCCCUCCG
rnacentral:tRNA from 1 species